CCCUUAGAUGUCCUGGGCGGCCCGCGCACUACAAUGGCGUGUGCAGCGAGUGCCGAAGUAGAGUUUUCCGAGGUAUUCUUGCAAUGCUCGUUUUGAUGGGGAUAGACCCUUGCAACUGUUGGUUUUGAACGAGGAAUUCCUUGUAAGCAUGGUUUAUCAUCCGACGCUGAAUGCGUCCCUGCCCUUUGUACACACCGCCCGUCGCUCCUACCGAUGAGUCGUCCGGUGAAGUUCGUAGACCUCGUGAUCGCGGAUCACUGGGGGAAGCAAAAUGAACCUCGCGGUUUAGAGGAAGGAGAAGUCGUAACA
rnacentral:rRNA from 1 species